UUCCGGAGCUGGGGACCAAACCCAGGGCCUUGCGCUUCCUAGGUAAGCGCUCUACCACUGAGCUAAAUCCCCAGCCCCUCAAACCUGAUUUUGAACUCUGUCAUUUAUACAUGGGAAAGAAGCAUCGAGCUGUGCAAUGGUUGCAGAUCAAGCACUCGGCAACUUUUCUACUCACACAACUGCUAAUAGUUUUCAUGGAGAAACAAUCAUUCUACACAGUGGGAGCAUAGCUGGUCAUUGAGGAGCCAGCGCUGGGGCUUUGCACAGGAACAGUUAGCAGAGUGACAUGUUGGUCCUAGAGUGACAUCUAGCUUGUGGGUACUUUGAGAGGAGUUCAGUGAGCCUGUCACAUAGAAACCUCUGACUCAGGUCGUCCUAGGCCUAUCCUGCUGCUGCUUCCAUGGCUACGGCUGCUUCCAAUUCUCUCAGCAGCUCCCUUAGAACAGCAGCACUGAUGUCCAAGCCAGAAAUAAACUUGUCUCCUUGUCCUGGGUGACGGAGGUCUCAGGUCACCUCAAGCCCAUCUAUUGUCCCAACUGAAUUGCAGUCUGUCUGAAGCACCUUGUCACCUUGGUUAAUUUUGUGCGGUCUUUCUAGGCUGCUGGAAGUCCCCUCAGGUGGCCUCACUGUCAUUCCUGCAAAGGAUCACUUCCCCUCCCCCAACCGCACCCCCUAGCAGUGAAAUAUUUUCUGUGUUCUGAAGUUUCCUUCGUCUCAGCUCUGUUUUGUUUUGUUUUGAAUCUUAUCUGGAAGUUAAGAUGCUUCCAGUUGUGGAUCAUGGUCUUGUACCUGUUCUGGAACAUUCGCCAUUCAAGGUGAGGUGCCAUGCAAGUGUCUGAUGCUUUCCCCUGCAUCCAGCUGACCGUGGUCCCUGCUGCACUCUGGUUAGUGUCUUCUCAUCAGCUUUAGUUGCUGAUUUGUCUCUGGUGCAGCCCCAUCACCAGGUCCAUGAUUUGUGUGACCACCUUUUUUUCACGCACUUUGCACUUUGGAUCAUCUUGAGGUUUUGGGGUGCUCAUCAGGAAUUCUUUGGAAUUUUGUCAGAUUUCCUGGUAAUUGGCCUGAGGUGUUUAAUCUGCUUGCCUAGCUGAAGUGGCACCUGCCUGCCCGGUCUGUGCUUUGUGGCCUUCCCUGCCCACACUGUCCAGCCUCCUUUGGGAGGAAGGCUGCCUUCACCCCUGCUGGCGAAUCUGAGCCACGCAGCUCUUGCUGUGUCCUUUUAACCUUUGUCCACGCCAAUGCCGACCUGUGAUUAUUUGCACCUGCACUUGGUUGGCCCACGCUAUUUGGAACCUGCCAUGGAACGUGGUCUUAGGAAACCUGAGUGGGAGUAAGUGCGAUCCCUGCUGCUGGGUGGACAUUCUGUCAGGAGCCUGCGGUGCUCAGUGUGCUCGAGCUGUGAGUGGAGCUAAGCCAGAGCCAUCCAUGCCCAUUCAAUUAGUGACUCAAUGGUUCUGACAUCCUCACCCCAACCCUGAUGUCUUUGUUAUCUGCUACCUGUAUCCUGGAGCCCUUUGUUUACAACCAUUGAGGCAAGGAAUUAAUUUUUGUCACCUUUUAAAGAUUUUACGUGGGGGAGGGGUGGUUGAGUCAGGCAGUGGUGACUCAUGCCAUUAAUCCCAGCACUCAGGAGUCAGAGGCAGGCAGAUCUCUGAGUUCCAGGCCAGCCUGGUCUACAGAGUGAGUUUCAGGACAUUCAGAGCUGCACAGAGAAACCCUGUCUGGAAAAAAACCAACUCAAACAAACCAAACCACUUAUGUUUUGGCUUCAUGUAUGACUGUGCCCCUGUGCACGCAGUGCCCACAAAGGCCAGAAGGGGGCGUUAGAUAACCCAGAACUGGUGCUCUCAACUACUCUGCCCGCCCCCCCCCCCCCCUCUCUUUUUUUCAGAGCUGGGGACCGAACCCAGGGUCUUGCGCUUGCUGGGCAAGCGCUCUACCACUGAGCUAAAUCCCCAACCCUGCUCUGC
ensembl:lncRNA